rnacentral:rRNA from 1 species
AAUUCGACGCAACGCGAAGAACCUUACCAGGGCUUGACUAUCCUCUGACCGCGUAUGAAAGUACGUUUUCUGGCUUCGGUCAGACAGAGAGACAGGUGGUGCAUGGUUGUCGUCAGCUCGUGUCGUGAGAUGUUGGUUAAGUCCCGCAACGAGCGCAACCCCUACGUUUAGUUGCUAACGUGUAACGAUGAGCACUCUAGGCGGACUGCCGUUGACAAACGGAGGAAGUGGGGAUGACGUCAAAUCAUCAUGCCCCUUAUGUUCUGGGCUACACACGUGCUACAAUGGCCGGUACAAAGGGACGCAAAGCCGCGAGGUGGAGCAAAUCCGAUAAAAGCCGGUCUCAGUUCGGAUUGCAGGCUGAAAUUCGCCUGCAUGAAGUCGGAAUCGCUAGUAAUCGCGGAUCAGCACGCCGCGGUGAAUACGUUCCCGGGCCUU